CCUUCCGUGUGUCCCUCCCCGCCCGGCUGGAGGCUGCUCCGGACCGGGACGCAGAGUCUGCGGACCCGGCGCCGAGGCGGCCACCCGAGACGCGGCGCGCACGCUCCGGCCUGCGACUUUCCCCUGCCUCCACCUCCCCUUGCUGGGGAUGGCGACGAUGCAGAGGGUGCUCUGGGAGGUGCCUUCCCGCCGCCCCCUCCCCCGAUCGAGGAAUCAUUUCCCCCUGCGCCUCUGGAGGAGGAGAUCUUCCCUUCCCCGCCGCCUCCUCCGGAGGAGGAGGGAGGGCCUGAGGCCCCCAUACCGCCCCCACCACAGCCCAGGGAGAAGGUGAGCAGUAUUGAUUUGGAGAUCGACUCUCUGUCCUCACUGCUGGAUGACAUGACCAAGAAUGAUCCUUUCAAAGCCCGGGUGUCAUCUGGAUAUGUGCCCCCACCAGUGGCCACUCCAUUCAGUUCCAAGUCCAGUACCAAGCCUGCAGCCGGGGGCACAGCACCCCUGCCUCCUUGGAAGUCCCCUUCCAGCUCCCAGCCUCU
rnacentral:lncRNA from 1 species